GAUGAACGCUGGCGGCGUGCCUAAUACAUGCAAGUCGAGCGAACGGACGAGAAGCUUGCUUCUCUGAUGUUAGCGGCGGACGGGUGAGUAACACGUGGAUAACCUACCUAUAAGACUGGGAUAACUUCGGGAAACCGGAGCUAAUACCGGAUAAUAUUUUGAACCGCAUGGUUCAAAAGUGAAAGACGGUCUUGCUGUCACUUAUAGAUGGAUCCGCGCUGCAUUAGCUAGUUGGUAAGGUAACGGCUUACCAAGGCAACGAUGCAUAGCCGACCUGAGAGGGUGAUCGGCCACACUGGAACUGAGACACGGUCAAGACUCCUGAGGGAGGAAGCAGAAGGGAAUCUUCCGCAAUGGGGGAAAGCCUGACGGAGCAACGGCGCGUGAGUGAUGAAGGUCUUCGGAUCGGAAAACUCUGUUAUUAGGGAAGAACAGAUGUGUAAGUAACUGUGCACAUCUUGACGGUACCUAAUCAGAAAGCCACGGCUAACUACGUG
rnacentral:rRNA from 1 species